GUGGGGAAUAUUGGACAAUGGGCGAAAGCCUGAUCCAGCCAUGCCGCGUGUGUGAAGAAGGUCUUCGGAUUGUAAAGCACUUUAAGUUGGGAGGAAGGGCAGUAAGUUAAUACCUUGCUGUUUUGACGUUACCAACAGAAUAAGCACCGGCUAACUUCGUGCCAGCAGCCGCGGUAAUACGAAGGGUGCAAGCGUUAAUCGGAAUUACUGGGCGUAAAGCGCGCGUAGGUGGUUCAGCAAGUUGAAGGUGAAAUCCUCGGGCUCAACCUAGGAACUGCCUCCAAAACUACUGAGCUAGAGUACGGUAGAGGGUAGUGGAAUUUCCUGUGUAGCGGUGAAAUGCGUAGAUAUAGGAAGGAACACCAGUGGUGAAGGCGACUACCUGGACUGAUACUGACACUGAGGUGCGAAAGCGUGGGGAGCAAACAGGAUUAGAAACCCGGGUAGUCC
rnacentral:rRNA from 1 species